ACGGGUGAGUAAGGGCUACGAGUCUGCCUGGGGUUGGGGGACAACGUCUCGAAAGGGACGCUAAUACCGCAUACGUCCUACCGUAGAAAGCAGGGGACCUUCGGGCCUUGCGCUAUCAGAUGAGCCUAGGUCUGAUUAGCUAGUUGGUGAGGUAAUGGCUCACCACGGCGACGAUCCGUAGCUGGUCUGAGAGGAUGAUCACUCACACUGGAACUGAGACACGGUCCAGACUCCUACGGGAGGCAGCAGUGGGGAAUAUUGGAGAAUGGGCGAACGCCUGAUCCAGCCAUGCCGCGUGUGUGAAGAAGGUCUUCGGAUUGUAAAGCACUUUAAGUUGGGAGGAAGGGUUGUAGAUUAAUACUCUGCAAUUUUGACGUUACCGACCGAAAGACCCCCCCCUAAAAUCUGUGCCAGCAGCCGCGGUAAUACAGAGGGUGCAAGCGUUAAUCGGAAUUACUGGGCGUAAAGCGCGCGUAGGUGGUUUGUUAAGUUGGAUGUGAAAGCCCCGGGCUCAACCUGGGAACUGCAUUCAAAACUGACAAGCUAGAGUAUGGUAGAGGGUGGUGGAAUUUCCUGUGUAGCGGUGAAA
rnacentral:rRNA from 1 species